CAUCAUGAUUUACAUUUGAGUGAGUGGCGAACUGGUGAGUAACACGUGGGAAACCUGCCCAGAAGCGGGGGAUAACACCUGGAAACAGAUGCUAAUACCGCAUAACAACUUGGACCGCAUGGUCCGAGCUUGAAAGAUGGCUUCGGCUAUCACUUUUGGAUGGUCCCGCGGCGUAUUAGCUAGAUGGUGGGGUAACGGCUCACCAUGGCAAUGAUACGUAGCCGACCUGAGAGGGUAAUCGGCCACAUUGGGACUGAGACACGGCCCAAACUCCUACGGGAGGCAGCAGUAGGGAAUCUUCCACAAUGGACGAAAGUCUGAUGGAGCAACGCCGCGUGAGUGAAGAAGGGUUUCGGCUCGUAAAACUCUGUUGUUAAAGAAGAACAUAUCUGAGAGUAACUGUUCAGGUAUUGACGGUAUUUAACCAGAAAGCCACGGCUAACUACGUGCCAGCAGCCGCGGUAAUACGUAGGUGGCAAGCGUUGUCCGGAUUUAUUGGGCGUAAAGCGAGCGCAGGCGGUUUUUUAAGUCUGAUGUGAAAGCCUUCGGCUCAACCGAAGAAGUGCAUCGGAAACUGGGAAACUUGAGUGCAGAAGAGGACAGUGGAACUCCAUGUGUAGCGGUGAAAUGCGUAGAUAUAUGGAAGAACACCAGUGGCGAAGGCGGCUGUCUGGUCUGUAACUGACGCUGAGGCUCGAAAGUAUGGGUAGCAAACAGGAUUAGAUACCCUGGUAGUCCAUACCGUAAACGAUGAAUGCUAAGUGUUGGAGGGUUUCCGCCCUUCAGUGCUGCAGCUAACGCAUUAAGCAUUCCGCCUGGGGAGUACGGCCGCAAGGCUGAAACUCAAAGGAAUUGACGGGGGCCCGCACAAGCGGUGGAGCAUGUGGUUUAAUUCGAAGCUACGCGAAGAACCUUACCAGGUCUUGACAUACUAUGCAAAUCUAAGAGAUUAGACGUUCCCUUCGGGGACAUGGAUACAGGUGGUGCAUGGUUGUCGUCAGCUCGUGUCGUGAGAUGUUGGGUUAAGUCCCGCAACGAGCGCAACCCUUAUUAUCAGUUGCCAGCAUUAAGUUGGGCACUCUGGUGAGACUGCCGGUGACAAACCGGAGGAAGGUGGGGAUGACGUCAAAUCAUCAUGCCCCUUAUGACCUGGGCUACACACGUGCUACAAUGGAUGGUACAACGAGUUGCGAACUCGCGAGAGUAAGCUAAUCUCUUAAAGCCAUUCUCAGUUCGGAUUGUAGGCUGCAACUCGCCUACAUGAAGUCGGAAUCGCUAGUAAUCGCGGAUCAGCAUGCCGCGGUGAAUACGUUCCCGGGCCUUGUACACACCGCCCGUCACACCAUGAGAGUUUGUAACACCCAAAGUCGGUGGGGUAACCUUUUAGGAACCAGCCGCCUAAGGUGGGACAGAUGAU
rnacentral:rRNA from 1 species